rnacentral:rRNA from 1 species
GACGAACGCUGGCGGCGUGCUUAACACAUGCAAGUCGAACGGAAAGGCCCUGCUUUUGUGGGGUGCUCGAGUGGCGAACGGGUGAGUAACACGUGAGUAACCUGCCCUUGACUUUGGGAUAACUUCAGGAAACUGGGGCUAAUACCGGAUAGGAGCUCCUGCUGCAUGGUGGGGGUUGGAAAGUUUCGGCGGUUGGGGAUGGACUCGCGGCUUAUCAGCUUGUUGGUUGGGUAGUGGCUUACCAAGGCUUUGACGGGUAGCCGGCCUGCGAGGGUGACCGGCCACAUUGGGACUGGGAUGCGGCCCGGACUCCUACGGGAGGCAGGAGUGGGGAAUAUUGCACAAUGGGCGGAGGCCUGAUGCAGCAACGCCGCGUGCGGGAUGACGUCCUUCGGGUUGUAUUCCGCUUUCGCCUGUGACGAGGCGUUAGUGACGGUAAUGGGUAAAGAAGCACCGGCUAACUACGUG